rnacentral:rRNA from 1 species
GAUGAACGCUGGCGGCGUGCCUAAUACAUGCCAGUCGAGCGAACGGACGAGGAGCUUGCUUUUUUGAUGUUAGCGGCGGACGGGUGAGUAACAUGUGGAUAACCUACCUAUAAGACUGGGAUAACUACGGAAAACCGGCGCUAAUACCGGAUAAUAUUUUGAACCGCAGGGUUCAUAAGUGAAAGACGGUCGUGCUGUCACUUAUCGAUGGAUACGCGCUGCAUUAGCUAGUUGGUAAGGUAACGGCUUACCAAGGCAACGAUGCAUAGCCGACCUGUUAGGGGGAUCGGCCACUCUGGAACUGACACGCGGUCCUGGCUCCUACGGGAGGCAGCAGUAGGGAAGCUACCGCAAUGGGCGAAAGCCUGACGGAGCAACGCAACGUGAAUGAUGGAGGUCUGCGGAUCGUAAAACGCUGUUAUGAUUGAAGAACAUAUGUGUAAGUAACGGUGCGCAUCUGGACGGAACCUAAUCAGAAAGCCAGGGCUAACUACGG